GCCUGAUCCAGCCAUGCCGCGUGAGUGAUGAAGGCCCUAGGGUUGUAAAGCUCUUUCACCGGUGAAGAUAAUGACGGUAACCGGAGAAGAAGCCCCGGCUAACUUCGUGCCAGCAGCCGCGGUAAGACGAGGGGAGCGAGCGUUAUCCGGAAUGAUUGGGCGUAAAGGGUUCGUAGGCGGAUAUAAGUGUCAUUUGUGAAAUCUUAGAAGAGUAUUUUAAGGGUGCAUUUGAUACACUAUUUUCUUGAGUAUAUCAGAGGAUAACAGAAUUUUGUAAGGAGGAGUGAAAUCUUGAGAUCUACAAAGGAAUGCCAGUGGCGAAAGCGGUUAUCUGGGAUAAUACUGACGUUGAGGAACGAAAGCGUAGGGAGCAAACGGGAUUAGAGACCCCGGUAGUCUACGCUGUCAAAGAUGAAUGCUAACAUUAGGAUAUUUUCUAGUGUAAAGUUAACACGUUAAGCAUUCCGCCUGGGGAGUACGAUCGCAAGAUUGGAACUCAAAGGAAUUGACGGGGGUCUACACAAGUGGUGGAGCAUGUGGUUUAAUGCGAUUAUACACGCGAAAUCUUACCAGUUCUUGCAUAUAGUGUUAGAUAAUACUAAUAAUAUUAUCGGUAUGGAGAAUUUUCUUUAAUAUAAGCUAUACAGGUGUUGCAUGGCUGUCGUCAGCUCGUGCCGUGAGGUGUUUGGUUAAGUCCUUUAACGAGCGCAACUCUUAUUUUAUAUUGGUAACCUUUUUAAUUUUAAAGGGUCCACUUAUAAAAAACAGCUAGUGAUAAGCUAGAGGAAGGUGAGAACGACGUCAAGCCCUUAUGGCCCUUAUGAACUGGGCUACACACGUGCUACAAUG
rnacentral:rRNA from 1 species